GUCUCGGGCAGCGGGGGGGCAGAAGCGCUGAGGCAGCACGUGGGGCAGGCGAGCGAGGCCCCGACCCUGCGAGGGGGACUUUGCCCUUGCACGUGCGCGUGCACCCACGUGGCGGGGACACACGUGCGUGCCGCGGCAGGCCUCGGUCCCGCAUCCCGGCAGGGCCGCGAGCGUGGGGCCGGGAGCGAGUCCCGCCGGGCCUAAUCCUGCGCCGCGGGGCGCAGCCCGGGCCCCCGCACAGAUGCCGCAUGGCCCUUUCGGCCGCGCGGCGCUCCUGGAGCGGCACCUGCCUGGACACGCUUGGGUGGCUCCCAGCAAAGCUGGGCACGGCGGUCGCGCUGGGGCCCUGAGGAGGAGGAGGAGGAGGAAGUAGCAAUAGGAGCCGGGGGGGGGGGCAUGGCAGCGUUGUGGCUACACACCCAAAUUCCCAGGCAAGGAGAUACCCAGCCGGCAGGUGGGGCCGGGCUCUGGCACGGCUGCAGCUGCCUGCGCCGGGGGGUAGGAUGGCCCUGCGGUCACAGCGUCACGGCCCAGCCUGCCACGGCCCCCAGGUCACAGCACCCGGCCACCCUAUAUCCCAGUCUCCUGGUCUCCCUAUAUCCCAGCCCCAUGGUCACUCUAUAUCCCAGUCUCCUGGUCUCCCUAUAUCCCAGUCCCCAGGUCACACUAUAUCCCAGCCUCCCUGGCCACCCUAUAUCCCAGGCCCCUGGUCUCCCUAUAUCCCAGGCCCCUGAUUCACACUAUAUCCCAGUCCCCUGGUCUCUCUAUAUCCCAGCCCCCUGAUUCACACUAUAUCCCAGUCCCCUGGUCUCCCUAUAUCCCAGUCCUCUGGUUACCCUAUAUCCCA
rnacentral:lncRNA from 1 species